rnacentral:rRNA from 1 species
AUGGGGAGGAUUCCUGCCGUGGCUGCUGCCAUCGUAGUGGCCUUACUGGUCUGCUGCUCGUGUGAGGUUCGAGGUAAGGAGGAUGAAGAUGUGCUGGACUCCCUCGUCGAUUUCCUGACCAAGCUCGCCGGUGGCGACGAGAAGACGGCGAGCGACCUCGGCUGGGACGCGUCGACCGACCCCUGUGACGGCACCGGCGGCCGCAACGGCAGCGACUCGAAGUGGGGAGGGACCGUCAAGUGCUUCGAGAACGGCGCGAGCAACGCCGGCCUGAUCAAGGUUAUCGACCUCCAGUCCCUAGGCCUCAACGGCACCAUCGACGCGGAGUCGCUCUGCGCCGCACCGGCGCUCCGCGUGGUGAGCCUGCAGAACAACACGCUGCGCGGCGGCCUCCCCGCGGGCGUCUCGGCCUGCUCGGGCCUCACCCACCUCUACGUCGACCGCAACCAGCUCUCCGGCGCCCUCCCGAGCUCCCUCGGCAACCUCAGGAAGCUCCACGUGCUCGACGUCUCCAGGAACGACUUCUCCGGCGAGAUCCCCGCCGGCCUCAGCGACGUGCGCGGCCUCAUAAGGUUCAACGCCAACGACAACCACUUCCAAGGCACCAUUCCUGAUUUCGACCUCGACAAGUUCGAGACCUUCAACGUGUCCAACAACAACCUCACCGGACCUAUCCCGAAGAACACCGGACGCUUCCGCGACGACAGCUUCGCGGCCAACGCUGCCGGCAUGUGCGGAGAGCCCAUGUUCUCCCCGUGUCCCUCCGGGGAGAGCAAAUCAAAGAAGACGCGGAGGAUCCUCAUGUACCUCGGGUACGUCCUCCUCGGUGCCGUCAUCGUGGCAUUCGUCGUGUACAAGCUCUGCUCCAGGAAGAGGAACAAGCUGGGCAAGAAGGCCAUGGUCGGCAAGGACAUGUUCGACAGCAGCAACCCGACGACGACGACGACAAGCAAGUCGGCGUCGGCCUACUCGCUGCCGGCUUCGGCGGAGCGGAGCCCAGCGCGCAAGGGCGCGGCGUCGACGUCGCUGGUGGUGCUGCGGCGGUCGGGCACGGCCUCGGUCACGUCGACGGCGGCGGCCGCGGCGGCCAAGGACCUGCGGUUCGAGGACCUGCUCAAGUCUCCCGCGGAGCUGCUGGGACGCGGGCGGUACGGGAGCUCGUACAAGGUGGCGGUGCCCGGCGGGGCGGCGCUGGCGGUGAAGCGGGUGAAGGACGCGUCGGCGAGCGACGACGAGUUCCGGCGGCGGAUGGAGCGGGUCGCGCGGGCGAGGCACCCGGCCGUCCUGCCGCCGCUUGCGUUCUACUGCGCCGCGCAGGAGAAGCUGGUGGUCUACGAGUUCCAGAGCAACGGCAGCCUCCACAAGCUACUCCACGGCUCUAUAGAGAGCAGCCAGGCCCCCCUUGACUGGCCGGCGCGCCUUCACAUCGCUACCAAGGUGGCCGACGGCAUGGCCUUCUUACACGCCACCAUGCGCGGCGACGGCGCGAGCUCCUACGCCUCCUCCACGUCCUCCUCCAUCGACUCCGCGGCGGCGGCAGAGGGCGCCAUCGCCCACGGCGCCCUCAAGUCCACCAACAUCCUCUUCACGGCCGGCAUGGAGCCCUGCAUCAGCGAGUACGGCGUCAUCGCGCCGCCGCUGGCCGCCGCCGUCGGCAGCAGCCGGAGCUCCGGUCUCCGCGCGGACGUGCGCGCCUUCGGCGUGCUUCUGCUGGAGCUGCUCACGGGGAAGGCCACGGCGGCACAGGGCGACGGCGCGGAGCUGGCGCGGUGGGUGACCUCGGUGAUCCAGGAGGAGUGGACCGCCGAGGUGUUCGACCGCGCGCUGCUCUCCCGCGACGGCGUCAGCGAGCAGCGGAUGGUGCGGCUGCUGCAGGUCGCCAUGAGGUGCAUCGACGCCUCGCCCGGCGAGGUGCCGCCGACCAUGAGGGAGGUCGCCGGGAUGAUCAAUGCCAUUCGCGAGGAGGACGACAGGUCUCUGUCCAUGGAAGCGUGA